GAUGAACGCUGGCGGCGUGCCUAAUACAUGCAAGUCGAGCGAACAGACGAGGAGCUUGCUCCUCUGACGUUAGCGGCGGACGGGUGAGUAACACGUGGGUAACCUACCUAUAAGACUGGGAUAACUUCGGGAAACCGGAGCUAAUACCGGAUAAUAUAUCGAACCGCAUGGUUCGAUAGUGAAAGAUGGCUUUGCUAUCACUUAUAGAUGGACCUGCGCCGCAUUAGCUAGUUGGUAAGGUAACGGCUUACCAAGGCAACGAUACGUAGCCGACCUGAGAGGGUGAUCGGCCACACUGGAACUGAGACACGGUCCAGACUCCUACGGGAGGCAGCAGUAGGGAAUCUUCCGCAAUGGGCGAAAGCCUGACGGAGCAACGCCGCGUGAGUGAUGAAGGUCUUCGGAUCGUAAAACUCUGUUAUUAGGGAAGAACAAACGUGUAAGUAACUGUGCACGUCUUGACGGUACCUAAUCAGAAAGCCACGGCUAGCUACGUG
rnacentral:rRNA from 1 species